ACAGUGAGUGAGUGGCUGAGCCGGGAUGUGAACCUCCUGGUAUCAAGCCCUUUUCUUUAACCACUGGGCCACUGUCCCUGAGUAGCUCAGGGGGUUGAGUUCUGGGCUACAGUGUGGAAGGCAGUGGGUUUAAGAAGCUCUGUGUUAAAAAUAGACUGUUACUAAUUAUCUUUUCUUUUUUUGUGUAGCUCAUCACUAUCACUACUAUUUCUACUACCAUCAUGGGUACCGCUGCGCUCGCCAUUGGCAUACCUACCGCUGCAGGCGAUGCCAGCACUACUGAGAAGCAGCAGCGCCCAGGGAUCACAGUGCUGGAGUUUACCUGACAGCAGACCUGCAAGCAAAGCUUAAACACACCAGCAUGGCUGUAACCUUUCUGUUGUGGUCCCUCUCCAAACACACAGCUACAGCACCCAUACUUAUUUCUAUCAGGCCAUUCCCAGUUUGUUUAAAACAGCUGCUCUCUGUUGUGCAUUUGGUCAAUCUCUUCAAGGAUAUAUAAUAUGGAAAGUAUGGAAAGGUGUCCUUAUUUAACAUGUAGUCUCAGAUUCUCAGUGAGAUCACAUGCUCACACAUGUUUGAAUAGAAAUACAACUCCACAUGGGCACAUAUACAAAGCGUUACUUGGAGAGCGUGCUUGAUUGAUUUGCCCCAGCUCAUAAUCACUGCACCGAGUCAGGUUUGACCAGUAGACUCCUUUCUUCUCCCAGCUCCUCACAGCCACCCUGUGAUGUCACAAGUGACCCGUGACAGGUCUUGUUCACAGACUGACAAAAACAUUGUGUUUAUAUAGAGAUUUUCUUCAUCUCUCAAUUAUUUUAAAAUAUCUUUAUUUGCGUUCAUGACAACAAAUGCUCAAACCGUUGACCAGUAUAAAUGCUGUCCUGCCGAAACAACACUAUCUGCUGUUACAUGAAACUGGGUAAAAGCCUGUCUCUUUCUGUAAAGCUUUUUAAGCAAUAAAACUAUUAGCAUCAA